AGAAGCGUCUUUCCUCCGUCCAAAGAAUUUGUUUGUUAUUAUUUUUGUCCAGACGUUUUGAGGCACAGAAACAUUGGGUGCAUUCAUAAGUUGCAGUGAUCCAGACGAGGACGCAAGACUCAGGAGAGCAAAGCACCAUCCCUGUUUCUGUGCUGGAAGCGCCUUUUUGUGAAGAGAAAAUCUUAACUUGCUUAACCAGGGAACUGGUUGGCACCUCUGUUCACCGGGUGGGGCCUGCGUCAGCAGGGCUGCAUCUCGGCGCUCUGCUUGGUCUUCCGGUGAGACGCCG